AUUAUUGUUAUUAUUAUUAUUAUUAUUAUUAUCAUAUGGUAUUCUUAACAAGCAUUACAACUCAAUAAAAUUAUAAAUAAAUAAACUUAAGUAGAAUAUAUAGAGGUUAAAAUAAAUAACAAUAAUAAAGAUAUUAUGUAAUUAGUCUAGUUUAUGGUAACUUCUGUGUUGUGGAAUGACCCACAUAUAGGAGAACAUCGAGUGAUCACAACCAGGCCAGAGCCGUUUCCGAAACGCCGUGGAUAUCGUUAAUUGUGCCGUUGAAAGUUCGAAUAGGGCAGUGGCCCAAAACUAACCAUAAGUUACCAUUAUAUGCUAAAAAAUUAUAUAUGAACUAUCAAAAAUAUUAUACUAUUAUUGACAUUUUAGUUUCUGAUUGAAGCAAGAAAUAUAUUGGUUUUACGGUGA